rnacentral:rRNA from 1 species
AGUGAACGCUGGCGGUAGGCCUAACACAUGCAAGUCGAACGGCAGCACAGUAAGAGCUUGCUCUUACGGGUGGCGAGUGGCGGACGGGUGAGGAAUAUAUCGGAAUCUACUUUUUCGUGGGGGAUAACGUAGGGAAACUUACGCUAAUACCGCAUACGACCUACGGGUGAAAGCAGGGGAUCUUCGGACCUUGCGCGAUUGAAUGAGCCGAUGUCGGAUUAGCUAGUUGGCGGGGUAAAGGCCCACCAAGGCGACGAUCCGUAGCUGGUCUGAGAGGAUGAUCAGCCACACUGGAACUGAGACACGGUCCAGACUCCUACGGGAGGCAGCAGUGGGGAAUAUUGGGCAAUGGGCGCAAGCCUGAUCCAGCCAUACCGCGUGGGUGAAGAAGGCCUUCGGGUUGUAAAGCCUUUUUGUUGGGAAAGAAAAGCAGCAGGUUAAUACCCCGCUGUUCUGACGGUACCCAAAGAAUAAGCACCGGCUAACUUCGU